AUGCAGUUGACCAGUCCCAAAUAGGACGAAACGCGCAUCCUAGCUGGAU
rnacentral:hammerhead_ribozyme from 1 species